UACGUAGGGUGCAAGCGUUGUCCGGAAUUAUUGGGCGUAAAGAGCUCGUAGGCGGUUUGUCGCGUCGAAUGUGAAAACCCGGGGCUCAACCCCGGGCCUGCAGUCGAUACGAGCAAACUAGAGUGUUGCAGGGGAGACUGGAAUUCCUGGUGUAGCGGUGAAAUGCGCAGAUAUCAGGAGGAACACCGGUGGCGAAGGCGGGUCUCUGGGCAACAACUGACGCUGAGGAGCGAAAGCGUGGGGAGCGAACAGG
rnacentral:rRNA from 1 species